rnacentral:ribozyme from 14 species
UUUUUUUUUUUUUUUUUUGUAAAAAAAAAAAAAAAAAAAAAAAA